GUCAGGAUGGCCGAGUGGUCUAAGGCGCCAGACUCAAGCUUGGCUUCCUCGUGUUGAGGAUUCUGGUCUCCAAUGGAGGCGUGGGUUCGAAUCCCACUUCUGACA
rfam:Gorilla gorilla gorilla genomic chromosome, chr6, whole genome shotgun sequence